rnacentral:tRNA from 1 species
AUAGCUCAGUGGUAGAGCACAUGCUUAGCAUGCACGAGGUCCUGGGUUCAAUCCCCAGU